rnacentral:lncRNA from 1 species
UUAUAAUGAAUUUUUGAUCUCAUCACUUUUUUGUAUAUAUGCACAGCAAGGUUCAUUUAAGUUCUUAACUAUCGUAGUUGAACAUUGUGAUUCUUUGGAAAUAGAAGAAACACCUUUUUUUUAUAGUGGUAGUUUGGAUUGUGAGUUUGUGACAAUAAGAUCCAACACAUUUUUGUUCUUGCUAUUUAAAUUCUAUCAUAGUUCUUUAUUUUUCACCUUU